rnacentral:rRNA from 1 species
UACGUAGGGUGCGAGCGUUGUCCGGAAUUAUUGGGCGUAAAGAGCUCGUAGGCGGCCUGUCGCGUCGGAUGUGAAAGCCCGGGGCUUAACCCCGGGUCUGCAUUCGAUACGGGCAGGCUAGAGUUCGGUAGGGGAGAUCGGAAUUCCUGGUGUAGCGGUGAAAUGCGUAGAUAUCAGGAGGAACACCGGUGGCGAAGGCGGCUUUCUGGACAGAUACCGACGCUGAGGCACGAAAGCUAGGGGAGCAAACAGG